UUAGUUAAAGCCAAAACAGAGGCAUUUCAUUGUUAAUGAAAUUAUUGAUAAAAAUCUAACUAAA
rnacentral:tRNA from 2 species